rnacentral:rRNA from 1 species
AACUGAACUGCACGCGUCCCCCCCGUUUGCGGGCGGCGGAAGCGUCUUUCUAAAACACAAACGACUCUCGGCAACGGAUAUCUCGGCUCUCGCAUCGAUGAAGAACGUAGCGAAAUGCGAUACUUGGUGUGAAUUGCAGAAUCCCGUGAACCAUCGAGUCUUUGAACGCAAGUUGCGCCCGAAGCCAUUAGGCCGAGGGCACGUCUGCCUGGGCGUCACG